rnacentral:rRNA from 1 species
AUUGCACGCUGGCGGCAGGCCUAACACAUGCAAGUCGAGCGAGCGGCGGAAGGGUGAGUAAUGUAUGGGGAUAUGCACGAUAGAGGGGGAUAACUACUGGAAAGGGUGGCUAAUACCGCAUACUGUAGGAUGAACCCAAAUGGGCUUAGCUAGUGGGUGGGGUAAAGGCUCACCUAGGCGACGAUCUCGAGCUGGUAUGAGAGGAUGAUCAGCCACACUGGGACUGAGACACGGCCCAGACUCCUACGGUAGGCAGCAGUGGGGAAUAUUGCACAAUGGGCGCAAGCCUUAUGCAGCCAUGCCGCGUGUAUGAAGAAGGCCUUAGGGUUGUAAAGUACUUUCAGCGGGGAGGCGUUACCCGCAGAAGAAGCACCGGCUAACUCCGUGCCAGCAGCCGCGGUAAUAC